UUACAAAUAAAAUAAUAUAUUAAGUCUGCACUUCACUUCUCAUCUAUAAUCACAUGAUGAUAUAGCAGGAGGUUGCUAUAUUGCCGGACAGAGGCUUUGUAUCUGAUCGUUGGUCUUGAUGGGAGACGCAUCC
rfam:Listeria phage LP-101, complete genome.